rnacentral:lncRNA from 1 species
UUCAGCAGAAGGUAUCGUAUGAUAUGGCGAGAGCUUGAUCUGUCCUUCCUGGAGGAGAAGGUCGAAGAUUUUAUCAGCCUUUGACAUGUCAAAGCCGAAAGUUUCUGGCUCCUUGCUGAACGGGCAUGAUAUCGGCUUCUUUCCCUUAACCCAUUCCGCAAGACCGACUUCUGCGUCUUCUUCGGCCUCAACCUCUUCUAGGAAUGCGACCUUCUUCUGGAAGUUCC